GAGAGCGUAACUUAAUUGGUUAAAGUUUCUGACUUUUAAUCAGCAAGAUCUGAGUUCAAAUCUCAGCGUUCUCA
rnacentral:tRNA from 1 species